rnacentral:rRNA from 1 species
UACGAAGGGGGCUAGCGUUGUUCGGAAUCACUGGGCGUAAAGCGCACGUAGGCGGAUCUUUCAGUCAGGGGUGAAAUCCCGAGGCUCAACCUCGGAACUGCCUUUGAUACUGGGGAUCUCGAGUCCGGGAGAGGUGAGUGGAACUGCGAGUGUAGAGGUGAAAUUCGUAGAUAUUCGCAAGAACACCAGUGGCGAAGGCGGCUCACUGGCCCGGAACUGACGCUGAGGUGCGAAAGCGUGGGGAGCAAACAGG